rnacentral:tRNA from 1 species
UCUUUUGUCGUCUAGUCCGAUUAGGAUACUUGGUUUUCACCCAGGCGACCCGAGUUCAAAUCCUGGCAACGGAA